GACGAACGCUGGCGGCGUGCCUAAUACAUGCAAGUCGAGCGAAUCGGCGGUUGGUGGAGUAACGCGUGGGUAACCUGCACUUAAGUCUGGGAUACCAUUUGGAAACCGAUGCUAAUACCGGAUACUAAAGGAUGGACCUGCGAUGCAUUAGCUAGUUGGUAAGGUACCGGCUUACCAAGGCGAUGAUGCAUAGCCGGGUUGAGAGAGUGAUCGGCCAAAUUGGGACUGAGACACGGCCCAAACUCCUACGGGAGGCAGCAGUAGGGAAUCUUCCACAAUGGACGAAAGUCUGAUGGAGCAACGCCGCGUGAGUGAAGAAGGUUUUCGGAUUGUAAAGUUCUUUUGGUGGGGAAGCGGUAAUCAACCAGAAAGCAACGGCUAACUACGUGCCAGCCGCCGCGGUAAUAC
rnacentral:rRNA from 1 species